UACGGAGGGUGCAAGCGUUGCUCGGAAUUAUUGGGCGUAAAGGGUAGGUAGGUGGUCUCAUUUGUCUGGGGUGAAAGCCUUGAGCUUAACUCAAGAAGUGCCCCAGAAACGGUGAGACUGGAGUUCUGGAGAGGGUCGUGGAAUUCCCGGUGUAGCGGUGAAAUGCGUAGAUAUCAGGAGGAACACCUGUGGCGAAAGCGGCGCACUGGACCACAACUGACGCUGAGGCGCGAAAGCUAGGGGAGCAAACAGG
rnacentral:rRNA from 1 species